rnacentral:rRNA from 1 species
CCUACGGGCGGCAGCAGUGAGGAAUAUUGGUCAAUGGGCGGGAGCCUGAACCAGCCAAGUCGCGUGAGGGAAGACGGUCCUAUGGAUUGUAAACCUCUUUAGGCGGGGAGCCAUGCCGGGCACGCGUGCCCGGAGGGAGAGUACCCGCAGAAUAAGCAUCGGCUAACUCCGUGCCAGCAGCCGCGGUAAUACGGGGGAUGCGAGCGUUAUCCGGAUUUAGUGGGUUUAAAGGGUGCGUAGGCGGAUUUUAAAGUCAGCGGUAAAAUGUCCGGGCUCAACCCGGGCCGGCCGUUGAAACUGGGGAUCUUGAGUGGGCGAGAAGUAUGCGGAAUGCGUGGUGUAGCGGUGAAAUGCAUAGAUAUCACGCAGAACUCCGAUUGCGAAGGCAGCAUACCGGCGCCCGACUGACGCUGAGGCACGAAAGCGUGGGGAUCGAACAGGAUUAGAUACCCUGGUAGUC